rnacentral:lncRNA from 1 species
GAAAGUGGGUGUCGUUUUUCUGCUUCAACAGCAAAUCCCGUGAAGGGCACUCAGAGGUAGCAAUUCCUUUUCUGGUAAGCAAAGGUGAGAGUACAACUGUUGGCUGUAAGUCUGUCUGCACCGUUCAUGUGGCUGUGCACUGGGCACGAUCUAGUGAGUUUGUCAAGUGUGCCAAGGCGACUGCACCGUGAUGCUCUGUGCUUCCAGAGCAUGCGCAUGCCUGGCCAGUGCCAUUGACAGCGGAUCCUGGGAACAGCAGCAGCUAUGGCAUGGGGUAGGUAGUUGGAAGGCAAACUCUAGGGCCCUUCUCCCCGACGUACUUGCCCAGUCUGUAAGGUGGGCCCAAGCAUGUUUCAACAAGCCUUUUGGGGAUUCUGAUGCCUGUUGAAGCUUGGGCACCAUUGACUUGGAGUAUUUUGGGCCAGAGAAAUAAUCUAGGAAUCAUGCACGUGCACACACGUGUGCACACGCAUGCACACCUACUGCUCAUCAUCUGUGGGAUGUCCUGCAGCUGGUUGCAGGAGAAUCAGUCAGACUUAAAAUACUUAGUUGAUAAAUAUUCCCUGCAGGUGGGCCUUUUCAACCAAACUUAAGCUCCUCCUUUGGCCACGCCCAGUCUCAGGUUUCUAAAUUCUUUGCUUAGUCACCUCUAGGGAAAUAGGUGUGGUGAAAGGCGAGAGGCAUCCUUCAAUUACUGAUUGCACAAGGAGCCGUUCAGGUGUGUGUUGAAUGACUGACUGCCUUGUGUAGGUCUGGGCUGUGGGCACCCUGUCCCCAAGGUUAGAGCUCUGAGGGAGGCAUACAGGGAGAGUCACCCUGUGAGUGGCUGAGAGAGAAAGAGGCGCUCACAAUGCUACAUCUGGGAGGAUCUAGAUGGGCCAAGGGCACACAUGGCUGGGGUGGUGGUUGGGAAAGGCUCCAAGGAGAAAGCGCUUAGCCUGGACGGUGUCUUGGAGGGCAGUCAGGGGGGCAGCAGGAUGCCGACAGAAGGGAACAGAGGACUUUAUUAAUUAAAGUGCUUUCUUCAGCCACAGAGGUGGGGCUCUCUAGUUUACUUUAAAAAUUAUUUUAUGUAUGUAGCUGUUUUGCCUGCGUGUAUGCCUGUUCAUCUCCCGAUGCCCAGGAAGGUCAGAGAAGAGCACUGGAUCCUCAGGACAUGGAGUUGGAGGUGGCUGUGAGCUGCCCUUGGGUGUUGUGAAUGGAAAAGUAGCCAGUGCCCUUGACUGCUGAGCCAUCUCUUCCUGUCUUGUUUCCUUUUUUCACUGAGUCACACUCAUACUGCAUACAGUAUCCAUCUUGAGGAAUGUUUACGUACGUCUUCACCCUUGCAAACACUGUUAGGUUCAAAUGUGAAACCUUCCUGUCUGCAGCCAUCUGGUUCCACUCACCUCCAUAACCAUAAAUUACUUUUGCUGGAGUCUUUUUAGUCUAUAGGCUCCCCACCCCCACCCCCCAGGCUCGCUCUCUCUGGCCAUAUUUAUUUCAUAUAUGUGGGGACACUGUCACUGUCUUCAGACACAGCAGAAGAUGGCAUCGGAUCCCAUUACAGAUGGUUGUGAGCCACCAUGUGGUUGCUGGGAAUUUAACUCAGGACCUCGGGAAGAGCAAUCAGUGCUCAUAACCGCUGAGCCAUCUCUCCAGCCCCACCUAUAGGUUUUCUGAACCCAAAUUUUCUUAUCCUCAGAGCCAAAGCUUGCCAGCAGAUGGAGUAUGGCUUUCAUUUAUGUGAUUUCCUUGGCCCACAAAGUAUAUUUUUAAAAAAGAACAUGGCCAACAUUUAAAAAUUGGGAGUUUCAUAAAACAUUCAGAUUGUCUGGCAUGGGGCCGGGGAUGCGGCUGGGUUGAUAGAAUGUAUACCUAGCAUGUGCUGGGCCCUAGAUUUGAUUCCCAGCACUGCAGAAACCUUACGUGGUUGUAGACAUCAGUAAUCACAGCCUUUGGGAGGUAGAGGCAGGAGGAUCAGGAGUUCAAGAUCACCCUUGGCUACCUACAGAGUUUGGUGCCAGCCUGAGCUACAUGAGGCCAGACCCUCCCACCCCCUGCAGUGCAGGCACCUGCCUGCUGUUCACAGACAGGAGAGCUGGGGCAUUGCUCAUGAGGCUGCUGUGCACGCAGCCAGAGUAUGGUACAGUCCUCCUCUGUCAGUCACUUCUGACCCCUCGGAGCCACCACGCUGCCCGUGGCCUGGCCCCUGAGCUGACCUGGGUUCUUACAACCAUCACAGAUCCUUUCCUCAAGCCUUGCCUCAUACCCCAUCUCCUAGGAGGCUUCCGCUCACCAGCCCCUGCCUCUCUCGCUAAAUGACACCUUUGACUUCCUAUUGGCACAUCCACACCGCCAGUCCAUCCCAAGCCACACAUCCACUUACAUGGCAGG